rnacentral:other from 1 species
AUUCCCCUGCCGUUCUCGUGAUGGGUGGCAUGCAUUCGAACCUAAAGUCCAUUCCGGGGAAUUCGUUCUAGCGAACCGUGAGCAAGCCCUCGCUUCGGCGAGAAGGACGCCUUAGGCCGCUAGCGGAUUCCCCACCUGUUUCCGACAGGUUCAAUGGACGCCUUCCACACGGCUCGGCGGGGGAUUU